rnacentral:rRNA from 1 species
UACGUAGGGGGCAAGCGUUGUCCGGAUUCAUUGGGCGUAAAGAGCGUGUAGGCGGCCAGGUAGGUCGGUUGUGAAAACUGGAGGCUCAACCUUCAGAGGUCGACCGAAACCAUCUGGCUAGAGUCCGGGAGAGGAGAGUGGAAUUCCUGGUGUAGCGGUGAAAAUGCGCAGAUAUCAGGAAGAACACCCCUGGCGAAAAGCGGCUCUCUGGGAAACGGUACU